GCGGAAACGAGUUAUCUGAACCUUCUUGGGAACGAUAACGGCGUCGAGCGGCGGACGGGUGAGUAAUGCCUAGGAAAUUGCCCUGAUGUGGCGGGAUAACCAUUGGAAACGAUGGCUAAUACCGCAUAAUGCCUACGGGCCAUAUAGGGGGACCUUCGGGCCUCUCGCGUCAGGAUAUGCCUAGGUGGGAUUAGCUAGUUGGUGAGGUAAUGGCUCACCAAGGCGACGAUCCCUAGCUGGUCUGAGAGGAUGAUCAGCCACACUGGAACUGAGACACGGUCCAGUACUCAUACGGGAGGCAGCAGUGGGGAAUAUUGCACAAUGGGCGCAAGCCUGAUGCAGCCAUGCCGCGUGUGUGAAGAAGGCCUUCGGGUUGUAAAAGCACUUUCAGUCGUGAGGAAGGUAGUGUAG
rnacentral:rRNA from 1 species